GAUGAACGCUGGCGGCGUGCCUAAUACAUGCAAGUCGAGCGAACGGACGAGAAGCUUGCUUCUCUGAUGUUAGCGGCGGACGGGUGAGUAACACGUGGAUAACCUACCUAUAAGACUGGGAUAACUUCGGGAAACCGGAGCUAAUACCGGAUAAUAUUUUGAACCGCAUGGUUCAAAAGUGAAAGACGGUCUUGCUGUCACUUAUAGAUGGAUCCGCGCUGCAUUAGCUAGUUGGUAAGGUAACGGCUUACCAAGGCAACGAUGCAUAGCCGACCUGAGAGGGUGAUAGGCCACACUGGAACUGAGACACGGUCCAGACUCCUAAGGGAGGCAGCAGUAGGGAAUCUUACGCAAUGGGCGAAAGCCUGACGGAGCAACGCCGCGUGAGUGAUGAAGGUCUUCGGAUCGUAAAACUCUGUUAUUAGGGAAGAACAUAUGUGUAAGUAACUGUGCACAUCUUGACGGUACCUAAUCAGAAAGCCACGGCUAACUACGUG
rnacentral:rRNA from 1 species